rnacentral:sRNA from 1 species
UUUUCCCAAACCCUAACGAUUCUGCUCCUUUUCCUUUUCUCUCUUUUUCUCCUUUAUAAAACGAAAAGUUGCUAACUAAAGCCCUAAUUUCGAGUUUCCUUCUUUUAUAGGCACACUUUAGGAUUUCCAAUUAACCCAACCAAUUAAACCGGAUGAUUUAAAAACAAACCCUAACCGAUUUUCCGGUUCACGGGUGUUACAAUUCUCUGUAUGUUUUAUGAACAACACCCUCGACGGUUUUGAUA